rnacentral:piRNA from 1 species
AUGGAGUCUAUUUGGUCCAUGAGAAGUUGG